rnacentral:rRNA from 1 species
CACGUAGGGUGCGAGCGUUGUCCGGAAUUAUUGGGCGUAAAGAGCUCGUAGGCGGUGUGUCGCGUCGGCCGUGAAAACCUGCAGCUUAACUGUGGGCUUGCGGUCGAUACGGGCAUCACUGGAGUUCGGCAGGGGAGACUGGAAUUCCUGGUGUAGCGGUGAAAUGCGCAGAUAUCAGGAGGAACACCGGCGGCGAAGGCGGGUCUCUGGGCCGAUACUGACGCUGAGGAGCGAAAGCGUGGGGAGCGAACAGG